GAUGAGGAGAAGACCCUGGACAAGUGAGACACAGGUGGGACACAGGUGAGACACCUGGGGGCGAGUGGUGAAAUUCUGGGGCAAAAAACGCCGAUUUUGGGCAAAAAACCUGGAGCUUUUAGGGUUAAAAAUGGAAAUUUUGGAGGUCACAAAAUGGCGGCACCUCCCAAUGUGAAGAAGAUCCUGGGCAGGUGAGACACAGGUGGGACACAGGUGAGGGUGAAUGGUAAAAUUUUGGGGCAAAACCCGCUGAUUUUGGGGAAAAAAUUUGGAGUUUCUAGGGUUAAAAAUGGAAUUUUCAUGGUUAAAAAUGGAAAUUUUGGAAGUGAGGAAAUGGCAGAACCACACAGGUGAGCUCCAGGUGCUUCCCCACCUGCACAGGUGAGCUCCAGGUAGCACAGGUGAGUCCAUAACUCCUCCAUACCUGCAGAUACCAACCCCAAACCUUCUCCCAACUGCCCAGGUGUGUCCCAGGUGUACCCAGGUGUGUCCCAGCUGUGUCCCAGGUGUGUCUCACCUGUAGAUGUGCACGUCACGGGUCUGCCCGAUGCGGUGGCACCUGCCCAGGUACCCAAACACCUGCACAGGUGCGCUCACCUGUAGAUGUGCACGUCGCGGGUCUGCCCGAUGCGGUGGCACCUGCCCAGGUACCCAAACACCUGCACAGGUGAGCUCCUAAAUCCCACAGAACCACACAGGUACCCAAAUACCUGCACAGGUGAGCUCCAG
rnacentral:lncRNA from 1 species